GCCAGAUCCUUAACCCACUGAGUAAGGCCAGGUUCAAACCCACAUCCUCAUGGAUACUAGUCGAGUUCCCCCACUGAGCCACAAUACUACUUCCCGUUUUUAUGCCUAUUUAAAUGUUCAUGUCUUAUGUGUCCCCCAAAUUCUCUCAGCUCCUCCUGUCCCAAUUCAGUCUCAGCUACCAGACUGGUGAAGGACUUUGAGGGGCCAACCAGCUAGUCUCUGGCUCCUCUCAUCACUGCCAAUCUUGGAUAAAGCGCACCCACGAAUAACGCCAAUGGAGUCUGGCUUCCCUAUUGGCUGAAAAAAGAGCCAAGGACGCACACAGAAGUUUGAAAAGGUUAACUCCCUGAGCAGUGAACUUUGAGCAGGGGUAAAUGGGAGAUUGGUUGGGGUCAAGAGAAAAAUUUUUUUUCUGUGUAGGCCAGCCAUGGUUAGUGUAGUGAAGUGACUUUGCCUUUGCUUCUUUCUUUAAUUUUAUUUUUAUUAUUAUAAUUUAUUUACAAUGUUCCGUCAAUUUCUGCUGUACAGAAAAGUGGACCCAGUAAUACUCAUAUAUACAUUUUUUUCUCACAUUAUCCUCCAUCUUGUUCCAUCAUAAGUGACUAGAUAUAGUUCCCUGUGCUAUACAGCAGGAUCUCAUUGUUUAUCCACUUCAAAUGCUAUAGUUUGCACCAACCCAAACUCCUAGUCCAUUCCACUCCCUCCCCCUUCCUAUCCUUCUUUGCCUCACUCCUUUUUGCCUCACACUUGCUGCCCUGAAAGUAUAUCUCCCAAUAAGGAUUAGCUCUUGAACUUGGUCUCAGGAUCUCUUUUCUAUGGACCCCAGGCAAAGCACCAGCAUAAUAUUACUUCAUAAGGAUAUUCUAACUUCAUAAUUAAUCUUCCCUUGAUAAACAUUCAGGUAUUUCCAAAUAUUGCUUAUUACAAAUAAUGUUGUUAUACUUAGACAAAUAAAUUUACAUAUACAUUCUAGAUGUAGAAUUUAUGGAAAGUGGUAGAAACAGUUUUAUGCGUAAAAAGUAGUGUUUUAGUUCUUUAACUCCAGGCUAUGUGAGUCAGCAAAGAAAUUAGUUGGGAAUUGUUCUAUACACAAUUUGAAAUGGGAAUCUUUUUCAGUUUAAUAUGUUAAAAUUUAGAAACUAUACAGUUAGUUCUGAGAUCAGUGUGUAGCUCAUGCCUCAUUAAGAAAUGGGUAAGGAGUUGUAGUAUCUGUUAAGAGUCUCUAAUGUGUUCAGUGAUGUUUCUUCAUCUUUCAGAUAGCCUAAAUCCUAUCUCUACAGGUAUACAUUUUUCUUCCUUCAGGAAUCUUGAGUUAUUUUUAAGCACAUAGUUUUUGCUUAUGUGCUUGUUUCAUUUAUACUUCUGAAUCUUUUGCAAUAGUUUCAGAAAAUAACAAAAGCAAAUAGGUUUUGCUUCUUUCCAAUAUACUCAAAGAAAUCCUAGAUGCUACCUUACCUACUUCAUGGGAAUAACUGUGUGAUGUUGUACCUCAAUAUUUCUCCAUAACUCCAUUCUAUGAGGGCACAGAGUGAUUACAAAAGUCCAAGGAUUUAUAUGUGCUCCCAGCAUUGUCCAUGAUAGACUGAAUCAAUAAUACACAUGUGCCAUUUGAUGCCACCCUGGUACAUGUCUUAUCAGAUGACAUUAUUAAAAGUAUCCCUAUGCCAGGAGAAUAUAUGAAGUUUGAGAAGUUUAAGUGAGUAUCCUUCUAUUUGAAAACAAAUAGAAAACACUAUUCUAACUCUAGUCAUGGGUUCCCUGUUUAUAAGAUUUUACACCCCAUCUGUGACCAGUACCCUGCAUAUUGUGGCAAUGGGGGAGACAUUUUUUAAACUUCUUUGAUCAGAAUAUUUACUUUUUCCUUGAAUUCAAAACUGAAAAGUACAUGCCCCAAAGCACCGUACUGGUGCAUAUCUAGCCUGUGUCCCCCACGUGCCAUUUAGCGGUUAUAAAUUGAGCUCUAAGGUCCAAAUCCUUGUAUUCAGAGUCUGGCUCCAUCUCUAUAGGCUUGGGCAAAUGGCCUAGCAUUGCUCUUUUUUUCCAUCUUUUAUAAAAGUGGGAUGAAAGUAUAUACAUUUCAUUGAAUUUAUAUGAGAAUUGAAUGUGUUAAUAAAUGUGACUCAGAAGCAUGCCUGGAGCAUAGCAUGCAUAGAGUAAAAUUUAAAUACAGUAAAAACAAAGAUAAUCUAUUAUUUGAUAACUUCAUGCUCAAUAUCAUAUUGACUACCUGGAUAACACUUGACUUAAAUUAUGUGACCUUGGACCUCCUCCCAUAUUUCAAAAGACGUCUAAGGACAAAGAUAAGAGAGGGAAAGUAUUCAUACUAAUUCAGCACCUAACAUGUUCCAAACACCCCGCUAUGAUGCAGGGCUCUUCCUAAAACUGUUAAUUUUGGAUAUGCCACAUGGUAUCACAUUAUUGUAUGUUUAUAAAAAUGCACCCAUAUUUCAUUUUAUAUCAUCUUUGGCAUUUAAAAGGUUGAAAGGACUUUUAUAAUUAUAGUCUUAAAAAUCAAUCUCAAUUUCAAUUUUCUAGUUUUUCAACUUAUAGCUUAAAUAGAAAAACUGGUUUCUAUCUCAGUCUUCUUAAAAGGUCCUUACAAAUUGUAUAGGUUGUCGGUACUCUACCUGCAGUAUCCAGUAGAUAAUUUGGCCCUCUUUUACACAUCUCAUCUUUAUCACCAAAAUAAAAAUGUCUAUCCUACUGAUGAGGAAACUGAGGCUUAGAGAGCUUAGGAAUCUUUACCCAUGUCACCAUGGAAAAGCAUGAAACCCAGAGCUGGACAAGAUCAAAAGCACUUUCCUCCAUAGUAUGUGACCUCCAGUGUCCCAUCUUUCUUAGCUCAUGGUUCCACAAAGGGCUCUGUUUUGACCCCUAGAAGUGAACACAAAGACCUCACGGUUCCUCCCCACCAGGAAUGCAGUACUGAAAUAGAACACUCUGGUUCUAAAUCCUUUGUAGCCGAAUGCCCAGAUUUCUGGAGCUUCAUUUAUUUUCUUGUCAGGCUGCCCAUCAAGAAUUAAAGCUCCGUGACUUCAUGUGGCUAAAGCCCAUAACUCUUAACAUUUCAUUUUAUCUUUAGUUUAAACACCCUUUUGUUUCUGUUCUUAUCAGUUAGAUGUGUGUUUUAUGUCCUGUCCUUUAAGUUUUAAAUCACUUUUCCUUCUUGGUAUCUUUUCCAGGUAUUGGUCAGCCUGGCCUUGACAAAUAGCCACGUCUCUGACUUGUUUGAAACAAAUUCUGAAAUCUCAGUCUAUGGCCUGGAAAUUGGACAGAUAAGGGUCAUGUGUUAUCAGUGUCUAAAUACAUUCUGGUGAAAUGCAGGGCAUUUCAACUGUCUGCCAACUAAAUGUACUACAACUAUGUCUCUUAGUUCUGUAACAUGUUUAACCUGGAAAGAAUAUUUAUAUUAUAUGCAUGGAGAGGUAAUCCACCCAUGGAUCUAUAGGUGAACCACAAGUUCCCAGAUGCAACCUGAUCUUAGCCAUCGAAGAUGUUGGGUAGGUCUAGGCAUAUCAUAAUAACCCAUGUUUACCAAGGACCUCAUAACACCCAAUAUAAUUAAAAAUACUUUGCAUGUCUUACACACUGGAUUCUCUCAUUAAACUAGGAAGUUAAUCCCUAUGUUAGAGAGGAAACUGAGGCAUAGAGGGAUGAAGUAAGUGGUCUAAAGUCACAAAGCCAGUAGGUGGUAAAGCAGAAAUUUGAACACAGGAAGUCCAGCACCAGCACCCACAGCCUUAACCACUAGUUAUGGUAUGUGUCCCAUCCAGAAGUAGGAGAUUUUAAGGGAGGAAAGACCCAUGGGAAAGAGAUUCUGGUAUGGUGAUGGAGGGGGAAAUAGGGAAGAAAGCAUUUCUUCUGUUGCCACCCAAGUCUCUUGACUCAUUUCUGAGCCUAUAGCAAAACCUGUAUGAAGCUUUUAUCCUGGGAGAUUCAGUGUGACUUCACAGAUAAGAUGUUAUGUUUGAAAGCAGAAGAAGAGAUAUGAGAAGAAGAUAUUUCUCCAGUUAGGGGCAGAAAACAAAUAACGACAGUCGGCGUCAUAUGGAGCACAAGGACACAGAAUCCUUUGUAGAGAUACGGGUAUUUUCUUAAGUAUACUAUUAGCAAUGGAAGCCUUGGUCAUGAUCAAGUGAUCAGAGAGAAUGCAUCAAAUUCAAGUAUCAGGGCAAGAGAAGAAUUAAGGACCCUGUGCUACCUGGAAACCAGAGCUGCCAGAUGGAUGUGAGCACAGUGUAAACCGCGACUUGACCAGGAGGAACCAUGUGGGCUUAAGUCAAUGAACUUUAGAUUAUUACCCCUAUGUAAUCCAUAUUAUCCCUAUGUAAUCCAUAAACAAAGGCUUGGGAAAACUCAGACUCCUAAUAGCUAGAUUUACUUAUAUCACAUAACUAGGGAAAAUUUUGCCAGGAGGAAAAGAAUACUGUCUUUUAAAAAAUUGCCAAAAUCAAGAUUUAGAAAUAAGGAUAAUAGAUUGUUUUCAUAUGUCCGCUUUUUUCAUUGAUGUUUUGCCCCUUAAUAAGUGUUUUGACAUUUCUAGGGCUUCUUUGAAAAUGCAAAAGGCUCAAGAAAAUUAUGAGCACUGGCGUCCCUGUCGCGGCGCAGUGGAAACGAAUCCAAGGAACCAUAAGGUAGCUGUUCGAUCCCUGGCCUUGCUCAGUGGGUUAAGGAUCCGGCGUUGCCAUGAGCUGUGGUGGUGGAGGUUGCAGACACGGCUCGGAUCUGGCGUUGCUGUGGCUGUGGCGUAGGCCAGCAGCUGUAGCUCCAAUUAGACCCCUAGCCUGGGAACCUCCAUGUGCCACAGGUGCGGCCCUUAAGUGACAAAAAAGACAAAAAAAAAAAAAAAAAAAAAAAAAAAA
rnacentral:lncRNA from 1 species